rnacentral:lncRNA from 1 species
ACCCCUCUCUGAAGCAGCAGCUCUUCUCCCCCAUUCCCCAUUCCCAUUCCCAUCCCCAUUCCCAUUCCCAUUUCCCCAUUCCCAGUUUCCCAUUCCCAUUCUCUGUUCCCAUUCCAGGAACCCAUCCCUGAAGCAGCAGCUCUUCUCGUACGCCAUCCUGGGCUUUGCGCUGUCCGAGGCCAUGGGGCUCUUCUGUCUGAUGGUGGCAUUCCUGAUCCUGUUCGCCAUGUGACACCCCUGGGGACAGCCCUGCUGCUGCUGCUGCUCUCCUGCCAGUAAACCACCGAUUUCUCUACGGAAUUCCCUCUUUUGGCCUUUUUGUAUCUUUAUUUUUCAUCUUCCGGGGGAGAUCCGGGGUGGAAAAUCCCAGCUGUGGGGUCAGAUCUGUAAAAAAUCCACCCAAAUCUGGGCCUUGGGAAAACAGAGGUUGGGGUUGGGUGCUGGGAUGGAAUUCCCAGAGAAACCCAUGGAUUUCUCUACAGAAUUCGUUGUUUUGGGGUUUUUUUGCCUUUAUUUUUCACCUUCUGGGGGAAAUUCAGGGGUGCGAAAUCCCAGCUGUGGGGUCAGAUCUGUAAAAAAUCCACCCAAAUCUGGGUCCUGAGAAAGCAGAGGUUGGGGUUGGGUGUUGGGAUGGAAUUCCCAGAGGAACCUACAGAAUUCCCUGUUUUGGGCCUUUUUUUUAUCUUUAUUUUUCAUCUUUCGAGGGUGAUUCGGGGUGGAAAAUCCCAGCUGUGGGGUGGGAGUAGGAACAGGAAGAGAGGAAGAUGAAGAUGGAGUCAAAUCUCUAAAAAAUCCUCCCAAAUCCGGUUCUUGAGAAAGCAGAGGUUGGGGUUGGGUGUUGGGAUGGAAUUCCCAGAGGAACCCACGGAUUUCUCUAAGGAAUUCUCUGUUUUGGGCCUUUUUUAUCUUUAUUUUUCACCUUCCGGGGGAGAUCCGGGGUGCGAAAUCCCAGCUGUGGGGUCAGAUCUGUAAAAAAUCCACCCAAAUCUGGGCCCUGAGAAAGCAGAGGUUGGGUUUUGGGGCUGGGAUGGAAUUCCCACAGGAACCCACGGAUUUCUCUACGGAAUUCCCUGUUUUGGGCCUUUUUUAAUCUUUAUUUUUCAUCUUUUGAGGGUGAUUCGGGGUGGAAAAUCCCAGCUCUGGGAUAAGAGUGGGAAGGUGGAGUCAAAUCUGCAGAAAUCGCCCCAAAUCUGAGCCCUGGGCAAACCAAGCUCCAUGAGGAGGGGUUGGGGUGGAUUUUGGGGAGAAUUCCUGGACCACCCAUUCCCACCCCAAUCCCGUUGGGAUUUUGGGAGAGUUUGAAUUGAAUUCCCACCCAAUUCCCACCCCAAUCCCUGUGGGAUUUUGGGAGAGUUUGAGCUGAAUUCCCACCCAUUCCCACCCCAAUCUCUUUGGGAUUUUGGGAGUUUGGAUUGAAUUCCCACCCAUUCCCACCCCAAUCCCGUUGGGAUUUUGGGAGAGGCUGAGCUGAAUUCCCACCCCAAUCCCAUUGGGAUUUUGGGAGAGUUUGAGUUGAAUUCCCACCCAUUCCCACCCCAAUCCCUGUGGGAUUUUGGGAGAGGCAGCCGCGCCUCGAAGGAAAGGGAGCCCGGAGGGAGCUUGGCUCAUUACCCGCUUGGAGUAAUUAAAUUAAUUAACUCUGCA